ACUCCUACGGGAGGCAGCAGUGGGGAAUAUUGCACAAUGGGCGCAAGCCUGAUGCAGCCAUGCCGCGUGUGUGAAGAAGGCCUUCGGGUUGUAAAGCACUUUCAGUAGGGAGGAAGGUGGUGCAGUUAAUACGCUGUAUCAUUUGACGUUAGCUGCAGAAGAAGCACCGGCUAACUCCGUGCCAGCAGCCGCGGUAAUACGGAGGGUGCGAGCGUUAAUCGGAAUUACUGGGCGUAAAAGCGCAUGCAGGUGGUUUGUUAAGUCAGAUGUGAAAGCCCGGGGCGUCAACCUCGGAAUUGCAUUUGAAACUGGCAGACUAGAGUACUGUAGAGGGGGUAGAAUUUCAGGUGUAGCGGUGAAAUGCGUAGAGAUCUGAAGGAAUACCGGUGGCGAAGGCGGCCCCCUGGACAGAUACUGACACUCAGAUGCGAAAGCGUGGGGAGCAAACAGGAUUAGAUACCCCUGGUAG
rnacentral:rRNA from 1 species